ensembl:lncRNA
CUGGCCUCAGACCCUGCACACCGUUGCAGACCUCUCAGAGCCACUGCGGCUGAGUCCUCAGCGGCCUCCAGCAGAGGGCUAGCUGCAUCUUUGGGGACAGCAAGACAGCUGGGAAGCAGCGAACAACGCGCAAGAGAGCGGCCAACACUGGGGAUGCGAGGUACCGGCAGUAGCCUUGGCCAAGUGGCCCUAGAGAGGGAGUAAAGGCCCAGCUUUCAGUUUUUCUCUUAAGGGUUGGAGGAAGGCGGUCUCAAGAGGAAAAGGAAGAAUGGAGUUUGGCUAAUUGGUACAGCUCUGCUGGAAGCGUGAGAAUAAACAGGUUGACUUUUUAAAUUUUC